UGGGGUAUGGUUCAGUUGGUAGAGCACUUGUCUAGCAUCCAGGAAGUUCUGGGUCAGAUCCUUGUGCCACAU
rnacentral:tRNA from 1 species